CCCGCGGGGUACGCCCAAGUCUCCACGCCAUUCCCCAUUCUCCUGGUCGCCAGCUCCCCCUUUCCACCUCGUAGGUAGCUCCUCCCCUUCGUCCCCACAGCCGGCGCGAGGUCCGCACGCCCCUUCUCGUUGAUCCGGUCCCCGAAGUCCCCGAGGAGGCACUCGAGCUCGGCAUGCUCGCGAGCGACCCAGUGCAAGGGGCCAUCUGAGGCGGAAGCGGUGGCCCGGGAUUCGUCUCAUCCGCAUCGGCGGCCGCGGCCAUCCAGCGCUGGCGUUGCCCGAGCACGGAGCAGGCCCCAACUCCUCACCAGCUGGAGCGGUUCGGGUGCUCCGCUUUCACCGGCGAGCUGCCCCUGCCUGCCCCCAGAUGCGCGUCGGCCCGCGGAGGGGGAGGGGUCGAAGAAGCAAGCGCUAGUAGGGGAGGAGACGGAGAGGAGGCGGAAUGAGGUUCUAGAUGGUUCUGGCGGUGCGAAUCACCGCAGGCGUCGCGCCCAUUGUCGCCUUUGCCCGCUGCGAGAACUCCCGCUCCGCGCGCCAAUGGCAGCCGGGACCAAGGGAUAUUUGAAAUUGGCAAGGAAAAGAAAACUUCAGAUGUGAACACCUCUGUUAAGUAUUAUUUUUAUUUCACUAUUACUAAUGUGUCGCCUGAUAGCUCGAUCUCUUCCAUACAUACAUACAUGGUUAUUUCAGUCAUGUGAUGUAUUUGUCUCGUAAAGUCAGUGCCCGUCAAUACUUUCUUUCGCUAGUCAAGUUUUCAUCUGAUAGAUCUGAUAGAUAGAUGGAAACACAAGUUUUCAUUCAUAAAUAGUAAGUAAUUUGUCUCUGAAUUUUGACAGUGCAGACUACUUCUUUUCAUACGUAUGCAGCUUUACCUCGCCUCAUAAUUUGAGUUUAUUUGUUUGACUGAUGCUAUUUGUAAAAUUCUAAUUGCGCUUACGGAUAAUGCCCCCUGAUUUUGCUUUCUGCCUAGACUAACUCUGUCUACAACCUCUUGCAUGUAUUUUUCCCCCAUGUUUAUCUAAAAUGGUUUUUGGCCCUUUAUUUUUAAAUAACCAAACAACUUUCUUAUACUUAUAAAUAGUACUGGAGCUCAUGGCCUUGCUUAAGAAAAACCAUCUAUAAUUGCUAAGUUUAUAAUAAUAGGUGAGCUACUGUGUCUCGGGCAUACAAUGCAAACUUGCAGACCAUAAGCUAGAUACGCAAUGAUUUUUUUCUUACUAUUACCAUGUUUUUUCAAUUUAUCAAGCUCCAGCCCAAAUAUCUGAUAGUAUUUGGCCUACAGUUAGUGUACUAAUUAAUUGGAUAUUUGAGUAGUAUUGUCAACAGUAAUAACUUUUACAUGUUUGCAUUACUUCCAAGAGUAACAGCAGGCGUUUAGGACACCUUUAGGAGAUCUACUAAUCUCUAAUCAUGCUACUCAAGGAUAGGAACCGUAGGCUUCUCUAUACAUUUUUUCACUGUCCUUUAUUGGUGGUUCUAUGAUGUAGUCCAAAUGAAACCAAUUGCAUGUAUUGAGAAAUAGAGUAUAGCUAGAUAAAGGUAAAACAGAACUUGACGUGGUUUUCCACUGACCUGAACAAUAAAAUAGACCACAUAUCUGGGAAGCAGAUUAAUAUGGGACAGCUUAUUAAGGGGCCCGAGCUUGUAUAGUAGUAUACGGGGCUGUAUUAGUGAUAGUAGAAAUGAUUUCCUCUAAUUUAGCAUUUGUAUCAAGGCCGCCAGUAUUUUCACUGCAUUUCAGAAAUACAAACUACAAAUUUUGCAAUGGUGCCAAAAAUAAUUAUUUCAUGAGCUGCUUCCUAUUUUACCCAAUAUGAAAACAUAAGCUACAUGUUGCAACAUGAUGGAGAAGAGGCAACACAGGAACCUGUUUACCAUUUUUUUUGCCAAGGUCUUGUCUGUAAAUGGAGACAUCUAUAUUUGUUUCUGAAUGAUAUGCUUUAAUCACAUGCCUUCUUCUCUUCCUUAGGAAAAUCAGAGGUCUACCAAUUUAUGUAUAUAGUGGGUGGUUUUUUUGGUAACUUAACUUGAGCAACCUAAUUUUGAAACAUAAUUUGAGAGACAUAAAUACAAACACUGUUAAAAUCAAGGGCUUACCUGUGAGUUCAGAACCAGCAAUCAGUUGAUUGUUAACAGUCAAUAUGUAUGAUUAUUUUUCUAAAUGUUUUUCUUUUCCUUUCGUGUGAAGGUAUGCGAUGAUCGGCAUUCUGAGCUAAUCCCUUGUUUGGAUAGGAAUUUGAUUAUCAGAUAAGCUUGAAGAUGGAUUUAAAACUGAUGGAGCAUCAUGAGCAUCAUUGCCCUACUUAGGAGAGACGCUUUAAUUGCUUGAUUCCACCGCCACAUGGCUAUAAGCUCGCGUGCGGGUAUUCACGUGCUCCCUUGCAUUAUCACUCAAAACAACUCAUGUUGUCUGGUGCUCGGAUGUUGAAGUAGACACUGGACAUUCCCUCACACUCGCAUCAAGCCCUACCUGAUUCCCCUCAUACGUAUGAUCAGAUUCUGUAGGAGUUGGAAGACAAAAGUACUGAUCCAACCAUGGAAGGGGUGGAAGGCUAUCCACAUCACUAUUCAACAUGCAACCAACCACCUCACUCGAGUCAUUAGCGCUUCCCUUGCAGUUGGAGGCUACAACGCUAUACUGCAUCGGUGUAGCCUCAUCCAAGCUCCUGUACAUGGCGAGAUAACUCCGCAACAUGGAGCGCCCUGUCGGAUGAAUCCCUCAUGGCACCCAUCACCGGCACGCCACCUUUGCUAUGGCCUGCGUGUCAGAUGCGUCUUUCCAACGCUGAAGCUUUGCCUCCAAUCUCUCGUAUACCCCACUGUCCAGCGUGUAUGGCUUUAUUCAUUUGCCUGUCUUCAACCAUGUCCUGCAAGGCAGACUCAUGGAUAUGGAUUUUCGGUAUUCCUGGAUGCAUGCAUGUUCACGGGGUGAUGCAGCUACCAGCAAUCCACGUCGUCCCUCUAUCGACACGCCCACUACUAGACACGGCCGCAUCUGUUUUGUGUUGUCACAUCAUCACUAGAACUUGAUGAUUGCACAAAUUGUUUGUGGGAACAAUGAAGCAUGCACCUUUAGUAUUACGGUUUUUUUACGAUGAAGCUAGGUGUUGUCGUCCUUCUUUCAAGAUCUGGUAGAAUGGUAGUAACAUAUAUAUCGUUAUGUGUCUUCUCUUCUAUGUUUUAAAUGUUUGUAAUUUGUACGAUGCAUUCAAUCGCUUUUGGCCCAAUGUGAGUUCAUUCACUCUUGCAUCUAUGCUUGGUAGAUUACGUGCAUAUUCAAUUGA